UACGUAGGGUGCAAGCGUUAUCCGGAAUUAUUGGGCGUAAAGAGCUCGUAGGCGGUUUGUCGCGUCUGCUGUGAAAACCGGAGGCUCAACCUCCGGCCUGCAGUGGGUACGGGCAAACUAGAGUGCGGUAGGGGAGAUUGGAAUUCCUGGUGUAGCGGUGAAACGCGCAGAUAUCAGGAGGAACACCGGUGGCGAAGGCGGGUCUCUGGGCCGAUACUGACGCUGAGGAGCGAAAGCGUGGGGAGCGAACAGG
rnacentral:rRNA from 1 species